UACAAAGGGGGCAACGGGCUACCAAACAGAUUUGUAGGACCAGAGGCUACGCAGGGGGCGUGCCAAGCCCAGCAAGUACUCAAGUAGGCUAAGCAAGGGGCAAUAGAAAAGCGAAGGUGGACGUCACUCUCGGCGCGGCCUCGGCUGGGUCCUUUGGAGCCGUUGACAAUUUUUCUUAAGCCUAAUGGUCGAGACGCUGCCAAAAAAAUAUAAAGACGGCCGACAAAUGGCCCUCUGGGCUUUUACGCGGCUUAAAUAAUAUCCGCAGUCGAUUAAAAAC